rnacentral:rRNA from 1 species
UACGUAGGGGGCAAGCGUUGUCCGGAAUCAUUGGGCGUAAAGCGCGCGUAGGCGGCCCGAUAAGUCUGCUGUGAAAGUCCAGGGCUCAACCCUGGAAUGCCGGUGGAUACUGUCGGGCUAGAGUUCGGAAGAGGCAAGUGGAAUUCCUGGUGUAGCGGUGGAAUGCGCAGAUAUCGGGAAGAACACCCGUGGCGAAGGCGGUUCUCUGGGACGGUACUGACGCUGAGACGCGAAAGCGUGGGGAGCGAACAGG